UUUCCGUAGGUGAACCUGCGGAAGGAUCAUUAUUGUGUAACCGAGGUGCGAGGGCUGUCGCUGACCCGAAAGGUCGUGCACGCCCGAGUGCCCUCACACACAUCCAUCUCACCCCUAUGUGCACCACCGCGUGGGUCCCCCUUUGGCUUGUUCGGAGGGGGGCUUACGUUUUCACACAAACUUUGUAUGCAGUGUAGAAUGUAUUUUUUGUUUUUGCGAUCACGCAAUCAAUACAACUUUCAACAACGGAUCUCUUGGUUCUC
rnacentral:misc_RNA from 1 species